GACGCACGUAGCUCAGUUGGUAGAGCAUUGGACUAGUAUUCCAAAGGUCGUCGGUUCGAUUCCUACCGUGGCCA
rnacentral:tRNA from 1 species